rnacentral:rRNA from 1 species
AUACGUAGGUGACAAGCGUUAUCCGGAUUUACUGGGCGUAAAGGGCGUGUAGGCGGUCUUGCAAGUCAGAAGUGAAAUUCCUGAGCUCAACUCGGGCGCUGCUUCUGAAACUGCAGGACUUGAGUGCUGGAGGGGAUAGCGGAAUUCCUAGUGGAGCGGUAAAAUGCGCAGAUAUUAGGAAGAACACCGGUGGCGAAGGCGGCUAUCUGGAAAGUAACUGACGCUGAGGCGCGAAAGCGUGGGGAGCAAACAGGAUUAGAUACCCUGUAGUCCACGCCGUAAACGAUGAAUACUAGGUGUAGGGGGUAUCGACUCCCUCUGUGCCGCAGUUAACACAAUAAGUAUUCCGCCUGGGGAGUACGGCCGCAAGGUUGAAACUUAAAGGAAUUGACGGGG